rnacentral:misc_RNA from 1 species
UGAGUGGGAGUGAGCUAGAGUGAUCCUGGCAACAACAGUGUCAACUUGUCAUUUAAAAUUUAAAGCAAACUUUUUUUAAAAUUAAAAUGUCACUAGUGUCAGUCAAGAGUGUCAAGAUUAUUAAUUUAUAAUUUUUAUUAAUUUAAAUUUUCUGGUGGUGUAUUGUGAUUUUCUUCUAACUUCUAAUACAACAUUUAACUUGUAUAUUACACAAAGAAGUGGUGUAUUUUCUGAAUAUUAACUACAAUUUUCAAUUUAUUUAUUAGUUAUGGAAGUUAAGCUUGAAAUAAAGGAAGAAUUGGAGGAAUAUGAACAAAAUUAUGUGGAACCUCAGUUAUUAUCAUCAAUAGAUAUUCAAGAAUGUAAAAGUGAAACAGAAGCCAGUUGUUCAGGUUUUGACCUCAAAGAAGAGAGAAUCGAAAUGAUGAAAGCACUUUCUGAACAAUCAGUACCUGAACAAGAAUCAGUGACUCAAUGCUUUGAAGAAAAGACAUUAAAUUUUGCAAUUGGUCCUGAAGAAUUUUCACACAAGAACAAUUUCAAGGAACCUAUGAAAUUUCUUUCUGGAGAAGAUCUUCAUAAAUGUCAUGUUUGCUAUAAGCUGUUUACUGAAAAAGGUACCUUCAAUGACCAUAUGAAAGGUCACGGAGAAAGACCUUACAAAUGUGGAAUUUGUGUUAAAGAUUUUACUAAAAAAGCUGGUUUAAAGCAGCACCUGAAAGUUCACACUGGGGAGAAACCUUAUACAUGUGCAAGUUGUUUGAAGCAGUUCUCUACAAAAAAUAAUUUAAUUGUGCAUACAAAAAUAAUUCACACUGGAGAAAGACCUUAUAAAUGUGACAUUUGCAAGAAGCAGUUUUCUCUAAAAAAUACUUUAAGGGAACAUAUAAAAGUUCAUACUGGAGAAAGACCUUACGAGUGUCCAAUUUGUCUUAAGAAGUUUGCUCAUAAAUGUCAUCUAAAUGAGCAUAUGAGAAUUCAUACAGGACAGAGACCUUACCAAUGUGAAAUUUGUAUGAAGCAAUUUAUUACGAAAUAUCACUUAACUAACCAUAUGAAAGUUCACAGUGGUGAGAGACCUUACCAAUGUGAAACUUGCAAUAAAAGUUUUCCUCAGAGACAUCAUUUAAAUGAACAUAUAAAAGUUCAUAUUGGAGAGGGUCCUUACAAAUGUGAAAUUUGUGGUAAACAUUUUACUUGUGAGCCAAGUUUAAAUAAACAUAUGAAAAGUCACACUGAAGAGACACCUUACAAAUGUGAAAUUUGUGCCAAGAACUAUGCUAAUAAAUGUUCUUUAAGUAAACAUACGAAAACUCACACUGGCGUGAGACCUUAUAGAUGUGAAAUUUGUGCUAAGCAGUUUAUUGAGAAAUGCACUUUAAAUCAACAUAUGAAGAUUCACACUGGAGAGAGACCUCACGAGUGUCAAAUUUGUCUUAAGAAGUUUGCUCAAAGUUUUCAUCUGAGUAGACAUCUGAAAAUUCACACUGGACAAGGACCUUCUUCGUCUAAUGACGCUAUGUCCUUUGGUGAGUCUUGGCCAGCUUAACAAUGUACUUCCAUUCCGGUACGUUGUUUAUCCAUCUUUUAUGGGGCCUUCCUCUUGUUCUAUUUCUUUGGGGCUUCCAUCUCUGGAUUACUUUUCCAUCCACCCAAUGGCACUACGGCACAAACUGGGCCUUGGCCUCCUUCGGCAAGUUUCUCCAAUCAUUUUGAUUUACUGCUGUUUUUUCCAUGAAAGCGUUUUUAGGAGGUUUUUGGCAUCCUCAUGUACUUCGUCUUCCAAUCUCAUUUUUAGUCUUCGAACAGGUCUUUUUCCUUGUAUUUAGCAAUUUUCUAGCGAUUCUAUUUUCAUGCAUGCGGGCCAUGUACUCUACAUCGUAAUAUCUGCAGUUUAAUGUAUUGUGCUAGAGUUGGUUCACUAUAUUGUUCGUAUAUUUAUUUAUUAUACCUAAUUCGUCAAUUUUCACUUAUUGGGCCCAGUAUCCUACGUAAUAUUUUUCUUUCAAACACUUCUAAUGCGUUGGCAGAUCUCUGUGUCACAACUCAUGUUUCACAACCAUAACUUACUAUGGGCCUGAUAACUGUUUUAUAGAAUCGGAGUUUUGUUUUCCGGUGUACUUCUCGCGAUUUCAAUAUGUGGCCCAUCGCGAAAUAGGCUUUAUCUGCCAGCAUAAACCUUUCUAUUUAUUUCCGGUUCUUCUUCAUUGUUUGCGACCAGGUCCGCGCCUAAGUACGUGAAUCUAUUCACAUGUUCUAUAUCGUCUAUAAAGUGUUUCCUAAAGAGUUCUGCACUCUGUUUCAUCUCAGUGUAGGUUUCUUUCGCCGCGUUCAUUGUUCGGCUUAUUAUCUUAUUCUGCUGUUUAUAUCAUCAGCGUAUGCUGCUAAUUGGGUAGAUUUGUUUGUAAGUGUGUUAUUUCCGCUCACCGUCAAUCGUCCAAUUACAUUAUUCAAGAACAAGAUUAAAAAGUGUUGGAGUCGGUUCGUCGCCUUGUUUCAGUCCUUGAAUGCAUACAUAUGCUUCUGUUUCUGUCAUUGUCAUUUGCACUAGUCGUAUUAAUUUUGAUGGUAUGCCAAAUUUUUGCAAUAUAUUAGGUAGACUUGUUCUAUGAGAGAGAUAGAGAUUCAGAUUUACAAGAAAAAAUUGUUCAACUCUUACUUACUUACUUAUCCUCUUCGUUCCCACUGGAACAUAGGACAUCUACUGUCACUGUCCAUUUUUGCCGAUCUUUUGUUUUUUCUCUGACUUCUUGGUUAGGCCGAUGUUUUCUGCUCCUUUAAUAAUUGUUUUCUUCCAUGUAUUUAUCGGCCUCCCCUGUUUCCGUUUUCCUGGAGGUUGGAAUUCCAAUGCUUGUUUUGUUAUGUCUGUGUCUGGUUUCCGCACAGUAUGGCCCACCCAUUUCCAUCUUCUCUUUCUUAUUUUUUUUAUGUAUUGGUUCUUGCUUCGUUUUUUUCCAUAAGUUUGAGUUUGUGAUCCGGUUGGGCCAAAAUAUUCUUAGAAUUUUUCGUAAGCAUUUCUUGAUGAAGGAUUGAAUAUUUUCGGUGUUGUGUUUUGUUAUUCUCCAAGUUUGUGAUCCGUAUAAUAGUACUGCCUUUACAUUAGUAUUGAAGACUUGUUCAACUCUGAAGUCGGGUAAAGCCAAAUCAGCAGAAUGCGAUGAGACUUGCAUUAGUUUAUAGAUUUAUAUUUUGUUUAGUUCAAGGUAGUGGUUUUUUGAAAAUUUAAUUGGUGAGUUUAAGAAAUAUAUAAUAUGUACUUAUAAAAUAGCAGAUGACUUUUUAUUUGAAAUAGCACUAUGAAUUUCCGUCAAUGGGUCUUUUGAAUAAAAAGAAGUAUUUGCUUUUAUGAAAGUUCAUACUGGAACUGCUUACAAAUGCGAAAUCUGUUUUAAACAAUUUUAUAAAACAACACAACUAAGGUUUACUAAAUGCUACGUAUGGUCGGUGCUGCUGUAUGACAUAGAGGGAUGGACAUUCAAAACGAGGGAUAUAAAUAGAUUAGAAGCUUUUGAGAUGUAACUUUAUCGCCGUAUCCUAAAGAUCCCAUGGACGGCGAAAGUCACAAAUGUAGAUGUCCUUAAAAGAAUCAACCAAGGACACCAACUUUUCGAAACCAUCAAGAAAAGGAAAACGGGGUAUCUGGGUCACAUCAUGCGAAACGAAAAAUACCAGUUCCUUCAACUUAUAUAAUCGAGGGUAAAAUUGAAGGCAAGAGAGCAAUUGGACGCAAGAAAAUGUCCUGGCUCCGAAACAUAAGGCAAUGGACGGGUAUUAACGACAUACAAUCUCUGAUACACAUUGCAAGAAACAGUUAAUGGAAAAUGUGAUCGCUGACAUCCAUUAGUGGAUUUGCAUCCGAAGAAGAGAAGAUAAAACAACUCAUUUACAUGAAAACAUGAAAAUUCACAAUGGAGAAAGACCUUAUAAAUGUGAAAUUUACGUUAAGAUUUUACUAUAAAAUAUGAUUUAAAGCAACACCUGAAAGUUCACACUGGGGAGAAACCUUUCAACUGUCGAACUUGUUAUAAGCGGUUUUCUACAAAAAAUAAUUAAUUGAGCAUAAAAAAAUUCACCCGGAGAAAGACCUUAUAAAUGUGACAUUUGCUUGUAGCAAUUUGCUCUAAAAAAUACUUUAAAAGAACAUAUAAAAGUACAUACUGGGAAAAGACCUCACGAGUGUCAACUUUGUCUUAAGAAGUUUGCUCAUAGAUGUCAUCUAAAUGAACAUAUGAGAAUUCAUACGGGAGAGAGACCUUACAAAUGUGAAAGUAUGAAGCAUUUUAUUACGAAAUGUAACUUACGUGAUCAUAUGAAAGUUCACAGUGGUGAGAGACCUUACAAAUGUGAAAUUUGCAAUAAAAGUUUUCGUCAAACACAUAAUUUUACUGAACAUAUCAAAGUUCACAUUGGAGAGAGACCUUACAAAUGUGAAAUUUGUGGUAAACAUUUCACUUGUGAAUUAAGUUUAAAUAAACAUAUGAAAAGCCACACCGAAGAGACACCCUAUAAAUGUGAAAUUUGUGCUAAGCAUUUUGCUAAUAAAUAAUGUUCUUUAAGUAAACAUACAAAAACCCACACUGGUGUGAGACUUUAUAGAUGUGAAAUUUGUACUAAGCAGUUUAUUGAGAAAUGCACUUUAAAUCAACAUAUAUGAAAGUUCACACUGGAGAAAGACCUCACGAGUGUCAAAUUUGUCUUAAGAAGUUUACUCAAAGUUUUCAUCUGAGUAGACAUCUGAAAAUUCACACUGGAGAAGGACCUUCUUCUAAUGACGGUACGUCCAUUGGUGAAUCUUGGCCUGCUUAUUAAUGUUCUCCCAUUCUGCCCUGUCGGAUACUAUCCUUCGCCACUGGCUGAUGUUCAUGAUUUUAAGAUCUUCCUAUUCGUCUAUCCAUCUUUUACGGGGCCUUUCAUCAUCAUCAGUGGCAUUACAGCUCUUUAUGAGCCAAAGCCUUCUUCAGAACAAUCCUCCAUUCGAUCCUGUCUCUGGCAACUCUUCCCCAUGCUCUAAUUCCAAUAGAUUUCAAAUCAUUUUCUAGUUUGUCUUGGUACCUAAGUCUCGGUCUUCCUCUUGCUCGUUGUCCUAUCGACCCUCUUCGGUCAAAAACUUUUCUGAAUAUGGCAUCUUAAUCUAGCCUGAUUACAUGCCCUAAUUAUCUAAAGCGUGAUACCUUAAUAAAUAUUACAACGUCAGGUUCUCCAAAACUUCUGUACAACCCCAGGUUGUAACGCCUGCGCAACAAACCUUGUUCUUUUAUCCCGCCAUAUACUCUUCUUAGGAUCAUUCACUCGAACCGUUUGAGCAGUUCUUGGUCAUUCUGUGUAAGUGACCAAGUUUCUGAACCAUAUACAGGCAUUGGUCUUAUUAGUGUUUUGUAGACAGUCAAUUUCAUUUUUCUAAGUAGCUUUGAGACCAUCUGUCUUCUUGGAGACAUGGUAACACUUAUUGGCGAGCACUAUUCUUUUAUUUCCUUUUUAAUUUCAAUUUAAUUUCUUUACAUGGCCUUCCUCUCAUUCUGUGUGAGACUUGCAUUAGUUUAUAGAUUUGUGUGUUUAGUGCAAAGUAGUGAUUUUUUUUAACAUUUAAUUGGUCAGAGAGAGAGAGAGAGAGAAGAGCGAAUUAGUUCGUUGUAGACCAAUGAAAUUGUACAGUUUGACAAAUAUAUAAUACUUAUUACAAAAUA